rnacentral:lncRNA from 1 species
CUUUCCACUCACUCCUUGUCAGCUGCACCUGGUCUCUCCCUCCCCCUCUUUCCUUACCCUGCUUUCCACUCUGUUCACCUUCCUGGCUCUCUCUCUCCUCUGGCCCUGGCAUCUCUCAAGCCUUUCUCCUUGCAUCCGUGUCUCCUUCCUGCCUCCCUUCCCCUCUAGCUCUUUCCCCCUCUCACCCCAGCCCCUUUCUGACCUGUGCCCAGGGGACGGACACAUAGACACUGCCUGCGCGUGGGCCUCCUCCCUUCUCCCUCCCGUCAGAGCUGCCAGCUCCACUCACCAGGUAUCCUGGCCGCAUUGAGGAUGGCUGAGGGCAAGAGAAGGAAACGGUUAGGCCGGUGAGGGGCCCCAGGACACAGUGGUGAGGGGCCCUCAACGCCCAGUGAGGAAGGCCCCCAACACCCAGUAAGAAGGGAUCCCAGUGCCCAGUGAGGUGGAGGUCCCAGCACCCAGUGAGGAGGGUCCCUCAGCGCCCAGUGAGGAGGGGUCCCAGCACCCCCUGAGGAGGGUCCCUCAGCGCCCAGUGAGGAGGGGUCCCAGUACCCAGUGAGGAGGGUCCCUCAGCGCCCAGCGAGAAGCCCCCAGCACCCAGUGAGAAGGGGUCCAGUGCCCAGUGGGAAGGGGUCCCAGCACCCAGUGAGGAGGGGUCCCCAGCGCCCAGUGAGGAGGGCUCCCCAGCGCCUAGUGAGGAGGGUUCCCCAGCGCCCAGUGAGGAGGGGUCCCCAGCGCCCAGUGAGGAGGGCUCCCCAGCGCCCAGUGAGGAGGGGUCCCCAGCGCCCAGUGACGAGGGGGUCCCAGCGCUCAGUGAGGAGGGGGUCCCAGCGCCCAGUGAGGAGGGGUCCCAGCGCCCAGUGAGCAGGCGUCCCAGCGCCCAGUGAGGAGGGGGUCCCCUUGAGUACCUGGUGGUGAGGAACCUCUAGCCCUCCAGUGCCCAGGGAGACUCUCAAGUCUCUCAACCCCAGGGCCCCUACCGGCGGGGCAUUUCCUGGGGCCUGGCCAGGCCCUGGCUGCACAGCUGUGACCCUGCCCUCCCGCAGCUUCCCGUCCAGCCUGCCUUCCGGGGACCAGGACCGGCUCCUCGAGGGAGGCACAGACCUGAGCCCCUCGGCUCUGGACGCUGCUGCCGCUGGUGUGCCCUCCCCUGACCUCCUGCGGCAGGAACAACACAAAACGGUGCUUCCCCAGAGGCAAGCAGCGGAGGACGAGGAGAUGGGAGAACACGGAGGCGAGAGGGAGCAGGCGAUGGCGACGCCGACGGUAACUGGAGACCGAGGCGCGCUGCGUACUUGCUGCGUUUUCUGUUUCAUCCUCACAGCCGUAGAAGAAACCGAGGCACAGAGCAGUUAAGGAGCAAGAGAUAAACAGAGCAGAAGCGGAAAGGAGAUGAGAGAGGGCCCCAGGCCCCUGUGACUCAGCCCAGAGACCUGGCGCAACCCGGGCUUGGGAAUCCCGUUAACCCACUUCCCGAAAGCUGUGAAUCAGAUAAGGAAACUGAGGCAGCUUAGGGCGGUUAAGUGACUUGCCCGAGAUUGCUGGGUGAGUGGUGGAGCCGGACCUGCACCCCAACACUGGGGGUGGCUGCUGGGACUGCCCUCAUGGAGGCUUCGGGAGCCUGGAGGAG